GCACCAGUGGCGCAAUGGAUAGCGCAUUGCCCUCCUAAGGCAGGGGUUGUGGGUUCGAGUCCCAUCUGGUGUG
rnacentral:tRNA from 1 species